rnacentral:rRNA from 1 species
AAGCUGAUGUAUAGGGGCUGACGCCUGCCCGGUGCUGGAAGGUUAAGGGGAAUAGUUAGCGCAAGCGAAGCUAUGAACUUAAGCCCCAGUAAACGGCGGCCGUAACUAUAACGGUCCUAAGGUAGCGAAAUUCCUUGUCGGGUAAGUUCCGACCCGCACGAAUGGCGUAAUGAUUUGAGCACUGUCUCGGCAAUAAAUCCGGUGAAAUUGUAGUGCAAGUGAAGAUGCUUGCUACCCGCGGUUGGACGGAAAGACCCCGUAGAGCUUUACUGUAGCUUAGCAUUGAAUUUCGGGAUUGUCUGUACAGGAUAGGGGGGAGACUUAGAAGCGAGGGCGUCAGCUUUCGUGGAGUCGUCCUUGGGAUACCACCCUGACAGUACUGGAAUUCUAACUGGAGGCCAUGAAUCUGGUCACAGGACAUUGCUAGGUGGGCAGUUUGACUGGGGCGGUCGCCUCCUAAAAGGUAACGGAGGCGCCCAAAGGUUCCCUCAGCGCGGUCGGAAAUCGCGCGUAGAGUGCAAAGGCAGAAGGGAGCCUGACUGCGACACAUACAGGUGGAGCAGGGACGAAAGUCGGGCUUAGUGAUCCGGUGGUUCUGUAUGGAAGGGCCAUCGCUCAACGGAUAAAAGCUACCUCGGGGAUAACAGGCUGAUCUCCCCCAAGAGUCCACAUCGACGGGGAGG